rnacentral:rRNA from 1 species
UACGGAGGGUGCGAGCGUUAAUCGGAAUUACUGGGCGUAAAGCGCGCGUAGGUGGUUUGAUAAGCUAGCCUGUGAAAGCCCGGGCUCAACCUGGGAACUGCAGUUAGAACUGUCUGGCUAGAGUAUAGUAGAGGGUGGCGGAAUUUCCUGUGUAGCGGUGAAAUGCGUAGAUAUAGGAAGGAACAUCAGUGGCGAAGGCGGCCACCUGGACUAAUACUGACACUGAGGUGCGAAAG